rnacentral:lncRNA from 1 species
GCUAUAUACAGGGGGUACCGGUACAGAGUCAAUGUGGAGGCUAUAUACAGGGGGUACCGGUACAGAGUCAAUGUGGAGGCUAUACACAGGGGGUACCGGUACAGAGUCAAUGUGGAGGCUAUAUACAGGGGUUACCGGUACAGAGUCAAUGUGGAGGCUAUAUACAGGGGGUACCGGUACAGAGUCAAUGUGGAGGCUAUAUACAGGGUAUUACGGUACAGAGUCAAUGUGGAGGCUAUAUACAGGGGGUACCGGUACAGAGUCAAUGUGGAGGCUAUAUACAGGGGGUACCGGUACAGAGUCAAUGUGGAGGCUAUAUACAGGGGGUACCGGUACAGAGUCAAUGUGGAGGCUAUAUACAGGGGGUACCGGUACAGAGUCAAUGUGGAGGCUAUAUACAGGGGGUACCGGUACAGAGGCAAUGUGGAGGCUAUAUACAGGGGGUACCGGUACAGAGUCAAUGUGGAGGCUAUAUACAGGGGGUACCGGUACAGAGUCAAUUUGGAGGCUAUAUACAGGGGGUACCGGUACAGAGUCAAUGUGGAGGCUUUAUACAGGGGGUACCGGUACAGAGUCAAUGUGGAGGCUAUAUACAGGGGGUACCGGUACAGAGUCAAUGUGGAGGCUAUAUACAGGGGGUACCGGUACAGAGUCAAUGUGGAG